AUGAGCUGCUGAAAGGGCUGAUGAACAGAGAGGGAAGGAUAUGAGGAAGGAUAUCUGAAGAAUCAGGCUGGAAGGAAAGAAUUGUCUGCUAAUUGGAAUGGACAUUUGAAAAUCCUGAGAAACUGAGGCAUGAAAAGAGUUGCCAACAGUGAAGUGCUUUUCCUCCCUUGCUGCUCAUUUUUUUUCCCCUAAUGUUGCUGUUGGAGAGGCUUCUCAUUUGUACUGUGAAAGCACUAACAGACUACUUAUUCAUGGGCAGAAGAUGAAUUUCCUGUUUGCUUGUGCAAGAAAGCAGCAAGCAGGCAGGCCUGGAAAGAAUCCAAGUCAUAUGGAGCUUGACUCCGGAGAAAGUGUUAACAACAGGCAAGUGUCUCAAUACCAUUUAGAUGGAUCCUCCAGUCUUCAUGGCAGCAGUCUGAAUGAAUGGAUCACAUCUACCUCACUUGGGGUCCCUGUGUCCAGAUCUUGCUAGGACUUCAGGAAUUUUUACAUUGGAGGUUAAAUUAGUUUAGGUCUAUGGGGAAGGUUAUCGCAUGUACAUGGCAUCAACUGGAACAACCCCCUGCAGGCCUGUGGGACAUUGCUGGACUGUGCUCUGUACUCCUGCUAUUCUUGGUGAUCAGCCUGCUGGGAGGUAUGAACGCACUGAACAAAGCAAACCAAUGAGCCCAGCUCACAGGGUGAAUUUUAACCUUAAUUUAGCUUGAACUUCCAGAGCUUUCUCACUGAUAUUGUAAAAAGCUGACUUCCAUCCUUAAUUUUAUAAGGGUAAGUAGGUCUAGCUAAUUUGACCCCCAGAUGUUCAGUUCUCAAAGGGGGCCAUCAUUUUGUAUUAAAUAAAACUGGGAAAGAAAGAGCCCGAGGAAGAUCU
rnacentral:lncRNA from 1 species